UGUCCCAGAAGAGCCCACCCCCGGCUCCCCGGCGGCCCAGGUACCGCCGCGCCCCGCCCCUUGCCCCGCCCCGCGCUCGAGGAGCCCCGCUUCCCGGCGGCCCCUGGCGGCUGAGGAGGCGCUGCGGCGCGUAGCCGGGAGCGCCGGGAGAGCGAGGGAAGGGGCUUGGCGAAGGGCCCCAAAGAUGCCCAGACCUUGGUGGCGCCGGCAGUCCCCCUUAACGUGCCCGGACGUUUCCAAAUGACCCAGAACCGCCAGAACGUCCAGAAAUGCUGGCGGGGUGCAGUGUCCACGGGGUACAACUUUGGAAAAGAUGACGAGAGAGGUGAAGGAAGUAAACUCAAGACCCAAGGAGGAUGAAAGCACGCUAUGCAUGACACCACCACUACAAAGCCCAGAGCCAGAACGGCGUGGAAGGACACUGCUGGCAGGAAAGGCUCCACUCUAUGGGGGCUUCACCCACUCCCAGUACCCUAGAGUGGGACCAGGAUGACCCUGGUGAAGCAGCCACAGGAUGUUCAGUUCUCAGAACAGAAGCCAGGUGGUAUCCGCUUAACCUGGGCUUUGCAGGGUCUGGUGAUGCUCAAGUCUCAGACAGAUCGUUUCUGUCAUCUGUAUAUACAACCUGGAUCGUGAGUGACCAGCCAGCAUAAAGGUACAUGUGACCUUCAAGGACCAGCCAUGUUUGUGCCACAGGCAGGAGGGCUCUAUCCUUUAAUUGCCUGGAAGUUCCAUCCAAAAUCCGAGUCAGCCAACAGUCCAGUCUGUGAGCAGGGCAGUUACAUCUGCAGCACGUGGAGGUGAGCCUGGCCCAACACCAAGCAGACAUCCUGGUACCGCGCGGUUGGAAACAAAGUAGCAAAGGAGGCUCACAGUGCUGCAUGGAAAGGGCCUUCUCGCUGACAGGGCCUUGCUGGGAGGCCCUUACAGAGUACCGAGAUAAUUUUCCCGAAGCAAGGAUGACAUCACUGGCCUGAAGGCGGAUCCAGGCAACUGCCCUAUCUGGGGAACAAUCAUUCCUGCAGCUCUGUCACAGCCAACCCCGUCCCUGGGCUGUGUGUAACCCAGCAACAAGGAUGGACCCGGGGACCAGCUGGAUGAGGAAGGUCUGGAGCUAAACUCUCCAAAGAUGCUCAGCCUUUAAUGGAGGAGGCCUUUUAGAAGAGAUCUGGCAAAUUCUCUGCCCUGGCAACUUCACUUUCUGUUCUCUUUUUAUCUGCUUUCUGUAUUUCCAAUUAAUCUUGGAAUGAGAGCCCAAGGCAAGAAGCCAGCGGUGCCUGAGGAAUGCUAAAGAGCAGACUGAGCCAGGGAAACAAAUGCCAGUGAGGGACCCCACAGCAAAGAGACGGGCACCGUGAGCAGCUCUCCUGUUACCAUGAGGCUUGCGAGGCGUGUGUGCGGGUCUCCGCGUUGGCACCAUCUGCUAGUUCCUCAGGAGGACAGAACAAACCAGUGAGGCGUGGAGAUUAGAUUAUGUAACGCUCGAGGACUGCUGUUUUCAAAGAGGAAACGAAUGGAACGAAUUGAUUUGCUUGUCAGAGUCAUGUCACUAAAGGAGACGCCUUCCCUCCUCUUCCAAGAGGACCUCAUUAAAGAGGGGGACGAUUUUACAGAUUGAGAAAGUAUGAGACCACAGUCGAGUCCAUUCACAAGAGCAAGUCCUAUUUCCAGAAUUGCACUGAUAAAUCCUCUUCUGGUCCCCUAGCCUGAAAAAAUGACUAUUCAGCCACUACCUAAAAGGUACCAACACGGCAAGAAACAUAACUGCCUGUUGCCAGCCACCAGAUUCAGAACCUUGCGCCUUGCCUGAACUGAACUCUCUUGCUUCUGGGGAAGGAAGCAGCAUCUAAUUUUGAGUCCAGUGGGGUCACAGGUAUAUUCAGACCUCUAAACAAGUGCUUCUGUGAUAGAGUGGGAACGUGUUCUUAAAGUACAUGCAUCAGGAAGGAGAAUUCACUGCAUUUCUGGGAUAAUUUUGUCAUUGCCGGGCUUCUCUCAAAACGCCCAGCAUAAUACUUUUUAUAGAAUGUUCAGUAGAUCCGAAGAACGAACAAAUGAUAACCUUGAACCUACCGCCAAAGGGCCAUUCCUAAAGACACAUUGUCUAAGACACCAAGAUUUAAAUGUCGGGUAUUUAUUCCACUUGGAAAUGAAGCCCGCUGUACCAGAUAUUUUCUAUUUGCCCUUUUUGAUCCACCAUGUAGCCUGGGAUACUCCCCUGUACAGACUCCAUCAACUUGAGCCUCUAGCUUCCAUUUGGGUACAGCCAGUGGGAGGCGACAGCAGCAGCAGACUGGAGGGCAGAAGGGCAGUGAGGGUGAAGUAUUUAUUUCCCUGGUUCUCUCCCUGCCAGAUCGCCUCAGGUUGGUUAUGUCUUUUGAUAAAAGGUCACUGCUCCCUCUCAAGGCAGCCCUUUCCACACAGCUCUCUUUCUGGGUUCCGGAAUUUCUCCCUCCCUUCAACUUUUAGAUCUAGGAAUGGUAAAGACCCCAGCUAUCCCUAGCCCCCUGGGUACUGCACUACCCCUGUGGCUUCCCUACACUCUACCCAAACCUUUGUAAAUAGUCCCUUUAUUAAAACCUCCUCAAGUUAUCUAAUUUGAAUGUACCAUCUGCUUCUUAUACAGAACCUGACUGAUACACCUACCACACAUGUCAGUCUGUUCCAGGCCCUGCACCACAGUUUAAAAAAAAAAAGCAAAAUUAAUAAUACGAUAUGCUACUACUUUAUAGUUAUUCUCCAUGUUCACCUUUUCACAAGGCUAUGAUAACAACUUAAAGAUAACACCUAAUUCUUCCUUACAACAUAAUUGUGCAGUAGUGUUUGUAUGAGCUAAAUAUAAUUCGAGAACAAGCUUUUUCAUGCCAUCAAAAUUCAUGUGAACAACUAUGAAGAGAGAGUUGCAGAACUGAUGCCCCCGACUUGAGGUUUAGCAGAAGAUUUAUCCCAAUAUUUAAAUCAACCACGCAGAUAUUCAAAUGCCUACUACGUGGCCAGAAAGAUGGAAAUCUUACAGUGAGGAAUAACAUCGCUACGGGCUCUGACAUGGUGAAAUGCGGUCUUGUUUUAUGCUGUAAAUGUGUUCCUAAAAAGUUGAAUAGAGAUUGUAUUUCCAUAAAUCAGAGAAUAUGUUGUAUGAUCAGGGGGACCUCACUAUUUGAAUAAUAAUUUGGUAAAAUAAUCAGCCUUUGAUCUUUUGAACCAAUUCUGUUUUUUCAUCCAUCUAAAGUACUUCAAAUGAAAUUUAUCUUUAGUCUGUAGGGAGGAUUGGUCUCCUUCCGUGCUCUUGGAAUAGCAGAAAUUGUGAAAUGGAAUUCAGAGGAAAGAUAAGGGAACUACCAUUUAUAGACCACACACAGAAUGCUAGGCAAUUUGCAUCUGUUAGCACAUUUAAUCCUGGAGGUAAAUGCAUAUUCUACCAUUCCCUUAUUUUCUCCUUCUGAAAAAUAA